ensembl:lncRNA
UUACUUAUUUGUGGUUAUAACUUUAAUGAGUAUGAUUAUUUAUAACAUGCAAUAAACACCAUGUUAAAUCCACUACAUUUAUUUAUAAAAUAAAGUCUCAUAUCAUAUUUAUUUAAGAUCUGUACAAUAUCUUACUGAUAUUACAAUAAAUAUAGUUAAAAUCAAAUGUGUCAUAUUACAUAUUCAUCUGAUCAGAUAUCUGAUCUCACAGCUGUUUAAGAAAAAUGGUUAUUUAUAAGUGUUCUUUGUCUGCUUUAAGCAAAGUAAUGAGUUAACAAUAGCAAGAUACAAGACUAAUAAUCCAUUAUAAAUUAAGUGGAUGCAUUGUGUAUUAUAAAUCAUCAUAAACUUAAAAGCUAUAACCACAAAUAAGUAAAUAUUAUAAUGCAUAUGCAUUAAAACUGUUGUUAUGAUUACUCAUGAGAUGAUACAACAUAUUAUAAUUUUUUUAUAAUGUACGGAUACCUCAGAUUUUUUUAGGUAUAUUUUAUUAUUAUUAUCAUUGUUAAUUGUUUUCUCUUUUGUGUAUUAUUCAUUCUGGGGGAGAGUGAGUGAAAGAAAACUGUAAAAGCAAAAGAGAAUUAUUGUCUAAUUCUUGAUAUUGAAUAAAAAUGAUAGAAUAUUUGAACUGCUUCACUGCUUUCUUUGCAGUAAAUAAUAAUAAAAUAUGAUUAAAAAAAACAACUAUAUCGUUACAAUAUCAGAAAAAAACACCGGAGUGAUUGAAUGUCAAGGUCAAUGAGUCUCUUAAAAAUAUCUUCUUCUUUUUUUUCUUGACAGCAAACUGCACGUUUACGCCUUAAUUGCAGUGAAGGUAAAUGUUUUGAGAGUUUAGAGACGUUCACUAGAGAAACUGCUUCGGUUCCUAAUGGCAGCGUGUGAAUAUGAGGACACAAGACCAGCCUUUAUGUAAUCCAGCCGCAUCCCCUGAAAUAUAAUGAAGAUCCAUUUGAAGUAUUUAUGAUGAAGGCUUUAUGAAACAAAUAACGGUGAUGGGGAGUUGUGGGAAAUGGAGCAUGCCCUGAAGAACUGUGCUCUGAUCAGCGGCGUGUGAUUGCUCUCUCUUCACCGGGACCGAGCCGACUGUCCAUUCCAAGGCACUAGCCGAUCAUUUAGCUCAAGAUGUGCGAGACGCUGAAGCCCGUUUGAGGAGGAAGAAAAGAGUGAAAAGAAGGAAGCCAGAUGUCUAAAUGCUCGCUGGUGAAAGUAUCCUCAACAUGACAGAAACAGACCUGCUGGACAUGCUGGACACAGAUGAGGUCAGACCUGUGGCAAACCAAACACGGCAAUUACAAAAGGGAAAAUAAACUGGACUCGUUUGUAUUGUCAUUAUUAUUAUUGCCAAACAUGCAUUUGUUUGUACAUGAGAAUAUUCUGAUCAGACCUGCCAGACGUGUUUUAUUUGAUUUGAUUUCUAAAUGUUUAAGCUGAACCGCUUCCAGUCUUCC